rnacentral:snRNA from 1 species
UUUGGGUUCAAUAUCUGAUAACGUCCACUACCCGGGGACUGCAUAUUAAAUGGAUUUUUGGAUUACGGAGCUGGAGCCAGAGCUUGCUCCGUCCACUCCAAGCAUCGGCCUGGUAUUGCAGUGUCUCCAGGAACGGUGU